rnacentral:rRNA from 1 species
UUGGGGGCAUCUACACAUGCAAGUCGAACGAUGAACCGCUUUCGGGCGGGGAUUAGUGGCGAACGGGUGAGUAACACGUGGGCAAUCUGCCCUGCACUCUGGGACAAGCCCUGGAAACGGGGUCUAAUACCGGAUAUGACUGUCCAUCGCAUGGUGGAUGGUGUAAAGCUCCGGCGGUGCAGGAUGAGCCCGCGGCCUAUCAGCUUGUUGGUGAGGUAGUGGCUCACCAAGGCGACGACGGGUAGCCGGCCUGAGAGGGCGACCGGCCACACUGGGACUGAGACACGGCCCAGACUCCUACGGGAGGCAGCAGUGGGGAAUAUUGCACAAUGGGCGAAAGCCUGAUGCAGCGACGCCGCGUGAGGGAUGACGGCCUUCGGGUUGUAAACCUCUUUCAGCAGGGAAGAAGCGAAAGUGACGGUACCUGCAGAAGAAGCGCCGGCUAACUACGUGCCAGCAGCCGCGGUAAUACGUAGGGCGCAAGCGUUGUCCGGAAUUAUUGGGCGUAAAGAGCUCGUAGGCGGCUUGUCACGUCGGUUGUGAAAGCCCGGGGCUUAACCCCGGGUCUGCAGUCGAUACGGGCAGGCUAGAGUUCGGUAGGGGAGAUCGGAAUUCCUGGUGUAGCGGUGAAAUGCGCAGAUAUCAGGAGGAACACCGGUGGCGAAGGCGGAUCUCUGGGCCGAUACUGACGCUGAGGAGC